UAACCAUCGUCGCAAGGCGAUGCUGAACGGCAGAAGUCAGCAGAGGUCAUAGUACCUGCAAAGAGACGUCUAAGCAGGGAAGGAC
rnacentral:ncRNA from 1 species